rnacentral:lncRNA from 10 species
AGUUCAGGGGUAUUCUGGUUGCCUUACCCAGCUCUGAAGUCUGUCAGCCUCUUCAGAUGUCACUUGCCAUGUGGUAAGGAAGUGUAGUCAGCAGCUGGUGCAGUGGGAAGAAGAGAAAGGAAGUUCCCCAAGACAAAAACAUCUCGGCAGACUUCAUCAUGAAUUCAUGGCAUCACACAGUCCCCUGAUGCUAUAACAUCAUGGAUUUCUUUUGUCCAGUGAGAGGCCCAAAAGCUGCAGCAUAGACAAUAUCAUAGUGUAGAAGGUUCACUAGACCGUGAUCAUGGGCUACAUUCUCCGUACCAGCUUCAUAGCUCCAGUGAGAAAAUAAAUUCCUGCAUCCAGGAGAUGUGGAGUAAGAGAUACAGCUGCCCUUGACCAUAUUUCUUACUUCCGAGAAGAUCGUAGCAGUAAUUCAGAAUCUCAUCCAGGAUACCUCAUCACAGGCUGGAGUGCAGUGUCAUGAGCUUGGCUCACUACAGCCUCCAUCUUCUGUGCUUAAGGAUCCUUCCCUCUCAACCUCCAAGGUAGCUGAGACUACAGGCAACAUUCGAAACCCAG